rnacentral:misc_RNA from 1 species
AGUCGUAACAAGGUAGCCGUAGGGGAACCUGCGGUUGGAUCACCUCCUUACCUUAAAGAACCUGCCUUUGUAGUGCUCACACAGAUUGUCUGAUGAAAGUAGAGAAGCAAGGCGUCUUGCGAUUGAGACUUCAGUGUCCCCUUCGUCUAGAGGCCCAGGACACCGCCCUUUCACGGCGGUAACAGGGGUUCGAAUCCCCUAGGGGACGCCACUUGCUGGUUCGUGAGUGAAAGACGCGUGCCGAUAUACCUCAAAACUCAUCUUCGGGUGACGUUUGAGAUAUUUGCUCUUUAAAAAUCUGGAUCAAGCUGAAAAUUGAAACGACACACAGUUAAUGUGUGUUCGAGUCUCUCAAAUUUUCGCGACACGAUGAUGUUUUACGAAACAUCUUUGGGUUGUGAGGUUAAGCGACUAAGCGUACACGGUGGAUGCCUUGGCAC